GUUCCUCCUCUCCUUUUUUCACUCAAAUUGCACUCCCUGGUAUUCCGGGGAGUAUGCCUGUUUGAGGGUCGUUAGAAGAAAAAUCGAAGCAUCGCUCUUUUUUUUGAGGGUGAUCGCGUCGGAAUUGAGCCGUCUUUCAAAUGUUAAUUCAUGUCAAAGUGGCUUGAAAUUCAUCCAUCCGGUACGAUUAAAGCGUAUUUAAGAUCAAUCUUGAUUAAGAACGCGCGAUGACGUACCAUCUCAUGUAGUACGUUUGACCUGGGUCAUCAGGUUCAUUCGUAUACGAUACUCAAACUUUUGA
rnacentral:misc_RNA from 1 species